AGUAACGCGUGGGUAACCUGCCUCAUACAGGGGGAUAACAGUUAGAAAUGACUGCUAAUACCGCAUAAGCGCACAGUGCUGCAUGGCACAGUGUGAAAAACUCCGGUGGUAUGAGAUGGACCCGCGUCUGAUUAGCUAGUUGGUGGGGUAACGGCCUACCAAGGCGACGAUCAGUAGCUGGCCUGAGAGGGUGAACGGCCACAUUGGGACUGAGACACGGCCCAAACUCCUACGGGAGGCAGCAUG
rnacentral:rRNA from 1 species